rnacentral:rRNA from 1 species
AUUGAACGCUGGCGGCAGGCCUAACACAUGCAAGUCGAGCGGUUGACGGGAGCUUGCUCCCUGAUUCAGCGGCGGACGGGUGAGUAAUGCCUAGGAAUCUGCCUAUUAGUGGGGGACAACGAUUCGAAAGGAACGCUAAUACCGCAUACGUCCUACGGGAGAAAGCAGGGGACCUUCGGCCCUUGUGCUAAUAUAUGAGCCUUGGUCGGAUUAGCUUGUUGUUGAGGUAAUGGCUCACCAAGGCGACGAUCCGUAACUGGGCUGAGAGGAUGGUCAGUCACACUGGAACUGAGACACGGUCCAGACUCCUACGGGAGGCAGCAGUGGGGAAUAUUGGACAAUGGGCGAAAGCCUGAUCCAGCCAUGCCGCGCGUGUGAAGAAGGUCUUCGGAUUGUAAAGCACUUUAAGUUGGGAGGAAGGGUUGUAGAUUAAUACUCUGCAAUUUUGACGUUACCGACAGAAUAAGCACCGGCUAACUCUGUGCCAGCAGCCGCCGUAACAC